AUACUUUUAUCAUUAUCAUGAGAUAAAUGUUUACAAUAAACACAUGGAAAAAAGCAGUGAUAACAGUGAGAACUCAAACUGCUUACCUGUGUUCAGCAGACUGUGCUCAUAUUACAUAACAGGCUGGAGGCAGAGUGAGGUAGAGUGAGGCAGAGUGAGGUAGAGUGAGGUAGAGUGAGGUAGAGGUAGAGUGAGGUAGAGGUAGAGUGAGGUAAAGUAAGGAGAAGUGAGGCCGAAUGAGGUAGAGUUUACAGAGCAAAGUACAGUGAGCUAGAAUGAGUCAGAACUUGGGAAAGCAAGUCAGAAUGAUGUAGAACGAGGCAGAGGUAGAGUGCAGUAGAGCCAAGUAGAGUUUUUUAGAAUGAGUCAGAUCAUGGUAGAGUGAGGUAGAGGUAGAGUGAGGUAGAAUAAGGUAGAGGUAGAGUGAGGUAGAGGUAGAGUGAGGUAGAGUAAGGUAGAGUUAGAGUGAGGUAGAGUGAGGUAGAGGUAGAGUGAGGUAGAUGUAGAGUGAGGUAGAUGUAGAGUGAGGUAGAGUGAUGUAGAGUAAGGUAGAGGUAGAGUGAGGUAGAUGUAGAGUGAGGUAGAUGUAGAGUGAGGUAGAGUGAUGUAGAGUAAGGUAGAGGUAGAGUGAGGUAGAUGUAGAGUGAGGUAGAUGUAGAGUGAGGUAGAGUGAUGUAGAGUAAGGUAGAGGUAGAGUGAGGUAGAUGUAGAGUGAGGUAGAUGUAGAGUGAGGUAGAGUGAUGUAGAGUAAGGUAGAGGUAGAGUGAGGUAGAUGUAGAGUGAGGUAGAGUGAGGUAGAGGUAGAGUGAGGUAGAUGUAGAGUGAGGUAGAGGUAGA